rnacentral:piRNA from 1 species
UCCACUUUUGAUACUUUCCUAGUGUCUUCCC